UUUCUGUGAUGAAUCAAACUAGCUCACUGUGAAUUCAAUAAUGAAAAGAUAUGAACACCUGAAAAAU
rnacentral:snoRNA from 1 species